rnacentral:rRNA from 2 species
GCAUAUCAAUAAGCGGAGGAAAAGAAACCAACAGGGAUUGCCUCAGUAACGGCGAGUGAAGCGGCAACAGCUCAAAUUUGAAAUCUGGCGGCCUCUGGGCCGUCCGAGUUGUAAUUUGAAGAGGAUGCUUUUGGCGAGGCGCCUUCCGAGUGCCCUGGAACGGGACGCCACAGAGGGUGAGAGCCCCGUAUGGUUGGACGCCGAGCCUCUGUAAAGCUCCUUCGACGAGUCGAGUAGUUUGGGAAUGCUGCUCAAAAUGGGAGGUAAACCCCUUCUAAAGCUAAAUACUGGCCAGAGACCGAUAGCGCACAAGUAGAGUGAUCGAAAGAUGAAAAGCACUUUGAAAAGAGAGUUAAACAGCACGUGAAAUUGUUGAAAGGGAAGCGCUUGCGACCAGACUUGUGCCCGUCGAAUCAGCCGCCGCUCGUCGGCGGCGCACUUCGGCGGGCUCAGGCCAGCAUCAGUUCGCUGCAGGGGGAGAAAGGCGAUGGGAAUGUGGCUCUUCGGAGUGUUAUAGCCCGCCGCGCAAUACCCCUCGGCGGACUGAGGACCGCGCAUCUGCAAGGAUGCUGGCGUAAUGGUCGUCAGCGACCCGUCUUGAAACACGGACCAAGGAGUCGUCCUAAUAUGCGAGUGUUCGGGUGUAAAACCCCUGCGCGUAAUGAAAGUGAACGGAGGUGAGAGCUUCGGCGCAUCAUCGACCGAUCCUGAUGUUCUCGGAUGGAUUUGAGUAAGAGCAUAUUGGGCCGGACCCGAAAGAAGGUGAACUAUGCCUGUAUAGGGUAAAGCCAGAGGAAACUCUGGUGGAGGCUCGCAGCGGUUCUGACGUGCAAAUCGAUCGUCAAAUAUGGGCAUGGGGGCGAAAGACUAAUCGAACCUUCUAGUAGCUGGUUUCCGCGA